UUUACUCUGCAUAUAUUUUGUAUUGUUUUAUGGAUCGACUUUGAUAUUGAAUACUGUUUGUUCUCUCCGUAUCCCUCGUUUAUAUAGUAUUUUGCUACUGAGGGUAAUUAUGUUAUAGACACUUCAUUGUGUAAAUUUUAAUUGAUUUUAUAUUAAUUCAUUCAGCGCCCAGUAUGAAGAGCUAAAUCAGAAUAAACGUGAACAGGAAAACAGUUAUGAUGCUAUUCGAACACCAAACAGUAUGGAAAACAGAAUUUCUGGCGCCCACUAUGAAGAGCUUAAUCAGAAUAGACGUGAACAGGAAAACAGUUAUGAUGCUAUUCGAACACCAAACA